CACCCAGAAAGAAAGAGCCCAUACUUUCAAUCUUAGGCAUAAGUUAGCUUGAUAAGAUUUUCAGAAAAAUUCCCUUUUAACCACAGAACACCCCCACUGGAAAGGAUUCUGAAAGAAAUGAAGUCAGACCUCAGAAAUGAAGUUGACUGCCUGCUGGCUUUCUGUUGACUGGCCCGGAGCUGUACUGCAAGACCCUUGUGAGCUUCCCUAGUCUAAGAAUAGGAUGUCUGCUGAGGUCAUCCAUCAGGUUGAAGAAGCACUUGACACAGAUGAGAAGGAGAUGCUGCUCUUUUUGUGCCGGGAUGUUGCUAUAGAUGUGGUUCCACCUAAUGUCAGGGACCUUCUGGAUAUUUUACGUGAAAGAGGUAAGCUGUCUGUCGGGGACUUGGCUGAACUGCUCUACAGAGUGAGGCGAUUUGAUCUGCUCAAACGUAUCUUGAAGAUGGACAGAAAAGCUGUGGAGACCCACCUGCUCAGGAACCCUCACCUUGUUUCGGACUAUAGAGUGCUGAUGGCAGAGAUUGGUGAGGAUUUGGAUAAAUCUGAUGUGUCCUCAUUAAUUUUCCUCAUGAAGGAUUACAUGGGCCGAGGCAAGAUAAGCAAGGAGAAGAGUUUCUUGGACCUUGUGGUUGAGUUGGAGAAACUAAAUCUGGUUGCCCCAGAUCAACUGGAUUUAUUAGAAAAAUGCCUAAAGAACAUCCACAGAAUAGACCUGAAGACAAAAAUCCAGAAGUACAAGCAGUCUGGUGGAUGGAAUGGAACCCAGAUGACCAAAGCCUCCUUUAGCUUGUGGCUAGAAAUCACGUCCCUUUAUAUUCUUCAUAUCCCAG
rnacentral:sRNA from 1 species